AGAAUGAACGCUGGCGGCAUGCCUAACACAUGCAAGUCGAACGAAGGCUUCGGCCUUAGUGGCGCACGGGUGCGUAACGCGUGGGAAUCUACCCUUAGGUUCGGAAUAACAGCUAGAAAUGGCUGCUAAUACCGGAUGAUGACGUAAGUCCAAAGAUUUAUCGCCUAGGGAUGAGCCCGCGUAGGAUUAGCUAGUUGGUGUGGUAAAGGCGCACCAAGGCGACGAUCCUUAGCUGGUCUGAGAGGAUGAUCAGCCACACUGGGACUGAGACACGGCCCAGACUCCUACGGGAGGCAGCAGUGGGGAAUAUUGGACAAUGGGCGAAAGCCUGAUCCAGCAAUGCCGCGUGAGUGAUGAAGGCCUUAGGGUUGUAAAGCUCUUUUACCCGGGAUGAUAAUGACAGUACCGGGAGAAUAAAGCUCCGGCUAACUCCGCGCCAGCAGCCGC
rnacentral:rRNA from 1 species